UGAAGGCUCUUUGCGCAUCCUCGAUAAGCUGUACUAUCAAGUUUUUCCUGACUUUUUGGACUAUAAAGGCAAAGGUUGUACAGGUUUGGAGAAACAAGAGGUGAGAGUGAAGGGGUGGUGCUGUAUGACGCUGAAGACAGAUUGAGGCUGUGACACCUGUCAGGCACGCCUGCCUCUGCCUGCCCUCAUUCACAGAACACUUCAGAUUA